AACUCUCAACCCUCUUACCUUUGUUUAUCACUGGCAUCAGGGCUUGGAUCAUGAGUGCCUGCUGGACCUGUGCAUCAGCUCACUCUAAAUGUAUCAGUGGUCUGCUUCUUCUGUCUUGCAGAUAGAUCUGGUGUAAUAGGUUUUUAUUCACUGGGAAUCUGUGGGGCAGGGUGUUGCUUGCCGCUUCCAAACAACCAUUAUGU
rnacentral:misc_RNA from 1 species